AUGAAGCUGAGUAUCUUUUUCCCAGACAUUGGCUGCCAGAAACUCAUCGAAGAGAAAGAUGAACGCAAGCUCUGUACCUUCUAUGAGAAGCAUAUGGCCACAGAAGUUGCUGCGGACACUCUGGCUGAAGAGUGGAAGGGUUACGUGGCCCAAAUCAGUGGUGGGAAUGAUAAACAAGGCUUCCCCAUGAAGCAAGGUGUCUUGACCUCUGGCCGUGUCUAACAGCUGCUGAGUAAGGGGCAUUCCUGUACAGACCAAAGAUAACUAGAGAAAGCACAAGUCUGUUCAGGGUUGCAUUGUGGACUCCACUCUAAGUGUUCUCAACUUGGUUAUUGUACAGAAGGUGAGAAGAAUAUUCCGGGAUUGACUUAUGCUACGAUGCCUCUUUGACUGGGGCCCAAAAGGGUUAGCAGAAUCCUCAAACACUUCAACUUAUCUAAAGAAGAUGAUGUCUGCCAGUAAUGUUGUAAGAAAGCCCUUAAACAAAGAAGGUAAGAAACGUAAAACCAAAGCACCCAAGAUCCAGUAUCUCCUCACUCCAUGUGUCCUGCAACAUAGACACCAGUGUAUUGCUCUGAAGAAACAGCAUACUAAGAAAAAUAAGGAAGAAGCCGCAGAAUAUGCUAAACUUUUCGCCAAGAGAAUGAAGGAGGCCAAAGAAAAACACCAGGAACAGAUUGCCAAGAGACGCAGACUUUUCUCUCUGCAAGCUUCUACUUCCAAGUCUGAGUCUAGUCAAAAAUAAGAUUUUUUGAGUAACAAAUAAAUAAGAUCAGACCCUCCAAAAA